GACAGAGGUGCCGAGCGUUAGGCGGAAUCACUGGGCUUAAAGCGUGUGUAGGCGGGUCGUUAAGUACCUUGUGAAAUCCCACGGCUUAACCGUGGAACUGCUCGGUAUACUGGCGAUCUUGAGCCACUUAGGGGUCAGCGGAACAAGUGGUGGAGCGGUGAAAUGCGUAGAUAUCAUUUGGAACGCCAAUGGUGAAAACAGCUGACUGGGAGUGUGCUGACGCUGAGACACGAAAGCCAGGGGAGCGAACGGG
rnacentral:rRNA from 1 species